GUUCUCUCUUGCUCCUACCCUGAAAGCCCUGUUAAGUUGAGGGAAAGAAUUAAGUAAAGGUUUAAGCCAAAGUUCUGGGCUAGAUCAAGAAUCCCUGCAGAAAACGCCUCAUAAGCCAGAAGUAUGGCUCCUCUACACACUUCAUCCCUACGAAUUCGGAAUGUCAAGGGUCAACUGAGAUCCUCCCUUCUUCACUCUCUGAGCAUCAUGCUCAGCACUCCUGCUGAUUUCUCUGCAGGAGACCUCAGUAGGAACAACGUGGUUCUGGAAUUUUCAACAUUGGUAGACAAAUAAAUGAACAGACUGUGGAGGAGUCCCUACUAUUAAAUCUACACUGUGGGAUUACUGAUGUGUUAAACAGCGAUGGCAAUGAAUAUGUUCGGUGCUUUCCCUUUCACUGUAUCCCUCUCUUGAUUGAAGGCAAGUCAUUUAUAAUGAAUGAUGCCUUCAAGGUAGACUGAGAUCACUGCCUGCCAUCCAGCUGGUAAUGGGAAAGCUGCAGACAUGGAUUGCUGAAGAGGUGUACAGAACAAAACACUAAAAAAUGGUGGCAUCAGUUGUGACCACAAAUGCAGGUUCACACAACCAAGAGAGAAUUUUGAUCAAGAAAGAAACUGCUAAAGAGGGGAGGAGCCUAUCUGCUGUGACAAUAACUGAAUGUAUCUAUAAAUGAAAACAUCUGCAACAGCCAUGUUGAUUAAUAUGAAACACUGAAGAUUCCUUAAGAAUGAUGCUGGUCCCAGCAAGUCAGAAUAGAAGCUAGGAGAUAAAACAUCACCAAUAAUGAUUUGCAAAGCAGUCUGCAGUCUUCACAUAGCCCAGACACAUCAGAAAAUGGACUCUUCACCUAGCUAAGCUAUCUGGUAUAAGCAACAUCCCAGCCUACCCUGCUUUCUGUCUAAUCACAGGAACUUCAAGGGUUCCAGCAGACGGUGUGGCUUAGAUAAAGGUGUAUCUUCCUGCCUCGAGAUCUGUAUCAAGCAUGUGUCUUCCUACUUCAAAAGUCCAGACUACAAGUGAAUCUGCACAUGUUAAACAAAGCAAAACUUCCCUCACAGAAUAUAAAUAAACCAGAGAGCAAGGUACCUGGAUUGUACUAGGCAGCUGCAUAUUGUCACUUAUUUUAUUCCUUCCAUCAACUAAGAAUUAAAAUGGACUCCAAUGAGACUAAAUUCCUCUAAAAGAAGGAC